CUGCGCGAGCCUGAUCAGCAUGCCGCGUGAGUGAUGAAGGCCUUCGGGUUGUAAAGCUCUUUUACCCGGGAUGAUAAUGACAGUACCGGGAGAAUAAGCUCCGGCUAACUCCGUGCCAGCAGCCGCGGUAAUACGAGGGGAGCUAGCGUUAUUCGG
rnacentral:rRNA from 1 species